AUUCUGCGUAAUUUUAUUUCACAGAUUUGCUGCCCUUUUGAGCCCCAAAAGCUACAUAAUGUUGUGGGGGGUGGGGAAAACAGAAAAAACACACAAAACACCAGCGAACUCUGAAAUGAUACGCGUAUAUGUAUAACACAAUGCAUAUAAUAUAAAACACAAUACUCUGUAAUGCACUCUCACAGGGGCUGCCCGGACCAUCCGGGAAUCUAUUCCUCGAGACUGAUCUCGCCCAGCGGUCACCGAAUCUUUUUAUGUCAAAACGUGUACACUUCCGCGACACUGAAGCUUCACGUUUGGACAUAAACAAGCGCUAACUUCCGGCGGACCUAUCUCUAUCGCUGGCCCUGGAAAUCCGUGAUUUCUCACGAAAAGCCAUGACGCAAAGCACGCCUCAUCUAUGGAGCUGAAUGUGGAGAACUUAAGCCUGUAAAGACUUAAGCGUUCCCACAACAAUAACCUCACCUCAAAAUUACCGACGUGUCCCCACUUAUACCACAUAGAGCCCCUCCUGAGGAAAGGAGCUGUUUAAGGAAAGAUUAUAAGGCAAAGACUGUAACUUAAUAUUUAAGAAUAAGGCAACGCUGUCGGCAGUUGCUCUCUCUCUCUAUCUCUCUCUUUUCCUCUGAUCCACGCAAGGGGGCCAUUUAACGAUAGAAGAGCAAGAGAGGAGGGGGGGGGGGGUUUCUUCGCUCUUGAUCAGUUCGCCGCGCCGCUUAGCUCCGAUUCGUUGGUCUGUUUGCUCUCGUGUUUGCGUUUCGCGACGGUCUGGCCCGGGUGCUCGGAUUAUUUAAUUGAUCCAUUAAAUGUCGGCCGUCGCACCGUUCCUCAGCAGCAGGAGCGCCGGGCGCUAGUAGAUCAUUCGGAUCAGUUCGCCCUCGGCGUCGCGACGUCUCGUGUAGCCCGUGCCGCUAGGAUCAGCGUCGGUUUCGCUGUUGUUAGUGCCGAGUUUAGCCGAGCGGGAGCGGAGCGCCACUCGCGUUGUUCCGCACGUGUAAGACGGGUCAGGGGGUGGAUCACCCCGCAACGAGAUUCUGUGAUAGGAGAGUUUAACUGGACAGGAAGCACAGAAAGUAGUAAGACAAGACGUGAACAGUUGAGCUUUUUCUCAC
rnacentral:lncRNA from 1 species